AAGCCCUUUUAUUAAUGAUUGAG
rnacentral:miRNA from 1 species